rnacentral:rRNA from 1 species
CCCUCCCCAAGGGUUAACACCUGCAAGUCGAGCGGAUGCCCGAAACUUGUUCCUUGAUUCGGCGGCGGACGGGUGACUAUUGCCUAUGAAUCUGCCUGGUAGUGGGGGACGACGUUUCCAAGGAACGCUAAUACCGCAUACGUCCUACCGGAGAAAGCAGGGGGCCUUCAGGCCUUGCGCUAUCAGAUGAGCCUAGGUCGGAUUAACUAGUUGGUGAGGUAAGGGCUCACCAAGGCGACCAUCCGUAACUGGUCUGAGAGGAUGAUCAAUCACACUGGAACUGAGACACGGUCCAGACUCCUACGGGAGGCAGCAGUGGGGAAUAUUGGACAAUGGGCGAAAGCCUGAUCCAGCCAUGCCUCGUGUGUGAAGAAGGUCUUCGGAUUGUAAAUCACUUUAAGUUGGGAGGAAGGGCAGUAAGCUAAUACCUUGCUGUUUUGACGUUACCGACAGAAUAAGCACCGGCUAACUCUGUGCCAGCAGCCGCGGUAAUACAUAGGGUGCAAGCG